UCUCCACUGAUCUGAAACUCCAUCGAGUAUCAGAAGAAGGGCAGAACAGUUAAGAGAGAAUUUUGAUGUGAGUCCAUUAGCAUUCAAAGCUAGACAUUACCAUCUAAGGCUACCAGCUUUGCCAAGAUGGAC